UACGAGGGGGGCAAGCGUUAUUCGGAAUCACUGGGCUUAAAGCGCGUGUAGGCGGGCGGGUACGUCGGCGACUGAAAGCCUCCGGCUCAACCGGGGAAGGGGUGCCGAAACGGCCGGCCUGGAGGGGCGUAGGGGGACCUGGAACUUCCGGUGGAGCGGUGAAAUGCGUUGAGAUCGGAAGGAACGCCCGUGGCGAAAGCGAGGUCCUGGACGCCAUCUGACGCUGAGACGCGAAAGCCAGGGGAGCGAACGGG
rnacentral:rRNA from 1 species